GUACACAAUGAAGGACCUGAUUGCUGCCUAGGUCCCAAUGUGGUCUCGCUCGAUAGCGUGUGGGAUGGAGUUGGACCUAGACAGCAAUCGGGGCCUUCAUUGUGUAC